rfam:Oryza punctata chromosome 11, whole genome shotgun sequence.
AAUUUCAGCUGAAAAAGUCAUGAACAUAAAAGUUGUAGAACUCAUCAAGACAUACAACUUUUAUUUUGAUCAUUUCUUUAUCCGAUAAAGUGAUAGUAACAUUGUUCACAAAAUUUGUAUAUCUCUCUUAUAGUUUAUAAAACCAUAUGAGAGGUAUGUAAAUUUUAUGAACAAUAUUACUAUCAUUUUAUCGGAUGGAGAAAUAAUCAAAAUAAAAGUUAUAGAUCUUGAUGAGUUAUACAACUUUGUUGUUGAUGACUUUUUCAGUUGAAAUC